UUUUUUUUUUUUUUUUUUUUUUUUUGAGAUGAAGUCUCACUCUGUCACCCAGGCUGGAGUGCAGUGGCUCGAUCUCGACUCACUGCAACCUCCACCUCCUGGGUUCAAGCGAUUCUCCUGCCUCAGCCUCCCGAGUAGCUGGGAUUACAGGCGCCUGCCACCAUGCCCAGCUAAUUUUUGUGUUUUUCGUAGAUACGGGAUUUCACCAUAUUGGCCAGGCUGGUCACGAUUUCCUGACCUCCAGUGAUCCUCCAGCCUCGGGCUCCCAAGACCUAAGGAAUUUGUAUAAAACCUUCCAGAUAACUCAGAAGCUGAGGACUUAUUAGGCAAAUCUACUUAUAUGUAAUUAACUAUUAGAGGUCCACUGUAUUUUUUUUGCUGAUGAAAAAUACAAAGAUUUUCUUUCCUACUAGAAAUUUUUACCUGAUAUUAUGUCACUAUCAUUUCUUUGAAUUUGUUAGAUAUACGAUAGAUUAAAUCAAUAUGUUUCCGCAAUAAAAGAACUGAUUCUGACAUCAUUCAUUAUCUAAAGUUCUUUCUUGGCUGCGUUUAAAAAUAACAAAACUUUUGUUUCCAAAUGGUGAGAUAUGAAGUAAAAUAACUUCGGUGGGCAUAUAUUCUUAUUUUCCUAGAGUUUAUAGUAGAAUUCAUGAAGCAAAUAAAACCCUGUAAAAUAGGUUUAAAGUAUUGAAAUGUAAAAUUCUAAACUUUUUCUGUUACUAGUCUCGUUUGUUUAUUUAUAAAGCUAACAAUUUUUAUAACCUUCUGUCUUUUCCUCCCUAAGACUUUUUAUUGCUUUAUUUUUAGAAGCUUAUUGUGGGCAUGAUUAAGAUGAAAGCAAAAAUUUUAGAUAUGUAGCAGAGGAAGAAAAUACAUUUAGGACAAACUGCCUCUUAAGUAGAGAAAAUAAUAGUUGAGCUAUUCUAGUUGAAAUUUCUUACUUGGUUGCAAAUGUACCCUCAAAAGUGGAAGAUGAUUUUAUGCAAAAUGUGGCUGUCUGUGGAGAGUCAAUUUGGGCAAAUUAAACUAAAUGACCUAAACAUUUAUACCAGCUACAAUAUUGUGACUUUUAUAUAACUACUUUUAUUCAAUCAGGUACAAUUUCAUCAUUUCUCCAAUUUAAUUGCUUUAAAAUGUUACCAUUGGGUGCCAUCCCAGAACCCCAUGGGGAAGGCUGUUAAGAAGUCCCAGCUCUAUUCCUCUAUUCUAACCUCCCUCAGCGUCUCUUUCUUGCUUUCAGCCAGCUCCCAAAGGAUUCAGCACUCAUUCUUCCACUCCUCGCAGCUGUCACCACCAGCUCUGUUUCCUGGGGUUCCUCCCCAACCUCAUCCCACCCAAGACUGGUUAUGAUCUGACCUAGUUUCCUUAGCACCCCCCUUCCUUUCUAUCUCUGAAAAUAAGUAUGAACACUGUUUACACACUGAGGGUACAGAGCAUUAAGACGAACCUGUAAUCCAGCUGUCUCUGCCAUUAUCAUGCACAUAUCCUUUGUGGGAGACUCAUCCACCGUCACGUGCCUGACUUCCCCUUAGAAUCUGCAAAGAAUAAAAUCGCUAUGUUUAGUUGUCUUUUUUUUUUCAAGAAUGUGUCUUUUUAGCUAGUACCCCUUUCCCUAGAGUGGCUGCUUACUGCAUACACAAUGAUUGUGGCAUGAAAUAAUUAAACGAUAAAAUCCCAGGCUGCUGUUGAAUAGUGUCAGAAGGAGGUUGGUACUCUGCACUUAGCUACCCAGACCUGCCACACACAUUUACAGCCACCACCUGGCCUCUGUAAGCAUCAGAGUUUCCCGUUUCUGACCCCUCUCACUGAAAGUUUAUCAAGAUCAGCCAAUCAUGUGUAUACAUUUCUAGUGUGUGCUACUAAAAGAGUACUACCUGGAUUCAGAAGUAGUAUGUUCAAGCCUUGGAUUUCCCCAGUAUUAGGUGGGCAAGCAUGGCACUCUCUCCACAGGGUUCUUUUAACUCUUCUCUCCACACCCGCACUGGAGACCACUGGUAACCAUCUGUGGCCAUCACCUAAACUCUCACCCAGGUUGAUUUGUACAAAUAGCACAAGAGGACACCAACUCCAUGCAGAUGGCAGCCCAGCAGGUCACACCAGUCCUUCUGUCCUCACACUGGCAGACAGAGGCCUCCUCUCUGGAGUCUUCACAGGGGCCUGAGCUAGAGCUGGAAAUGCAGCUGGAGCUGCAGCCAAAGCUGGGGCUGCAGGGCCUUGAUUUGAGACUUGGCCUUGGUCUUGGGUGGGCAGAGGUAAGACCCUUGGCAAUGCAGGCAGGAGCACGCUUCCCGAGCUUGGGGUAGGCAAUGUAGGCAAGUCAAUUGAGCUUCUGGAUGAUGUGCUUUGGGAUUUGGGACUUAACCUCCUUGGCCUUUUUGAGGACUUUGAUAGACUUGGCAUACAGACACAUGGCAUUGGUACUGUUGGCCCGCUUCUUAUUCACGCCCUUCUUGUUGUGCUUCUUGGCAAAGCACAUGUUCCUCAGGAACUUGGGGUCUACCCCAUUAAGAGGUUUGUAUCUUUGUUAUCACAGUUUCUUGAUGUCAUUUCUGUACCAUUUUUGGGACUGGUUGUGUGUGGUGUGGUUCUUGGACUUGGCCAUGUCUACAUCAUAACCUGUGGCUCCAGAAGCUCUUGGGACCAGAAGAGAAAGAACCAAAAAGUGAAUUUUAUUUUAAAAAAAUGUUUUGAGACAGGGUCUCAUUCUGAUGCCCAGGUUGGGGUGCAGUGGCACAAUCAUGGCUCACUGCAGCCUCAACCUAGCCAUCCUCCUGCCUCAGCCUCCUGAGUAGCUGGGACUGCAGAAGUGCACUACCAUGCCCAGCUAAUUUUUGAAAUUUUCUGCAGAGACAAGGUCUCACUAUGUUGCCCAGGCUGGUCUCAAACUCUUGAGCUUAAGUGUUCCUCCUACCUCGGCCUCCCAAAGUACUGGGAUUAUAGGUGUGAACCACCAUACCCAGGCUCAAAAAGUGAAUUUAAAAAUAAGUAACUGCUAGAUAGUAUUAAAAUAUUAUCAUUUGGAACAAGUGAAAAAUAUUUUCACGUAGCCAGGCUGAGUUCCAGAAUGAAUUUAGUUUAAUUGCUUUGCUUAAUUUUUUUUGAGACAGAGUCUCACUCUGUUGCCCAGGCUGGAGUGCAGUGGCGCGAUCUUGGCUCACUGCAACCUCUGCCUCCUGAAUUCCAGCGAUUCUCUUGCCUCAGCCUCCUGAGUAUCUAGGAUCACAGACGCCUGCCACUAUGUCUGGCUAAUUUUUGUAUGUUUUUCAGAGACAAGGUUUCGCCAUGUUGCCUAGGCUGGUCUCUAACCCCUGAGCUCCGGUGAUUCACCCGCCUCAGCUUCCCAAAGUGCUGGGAUUACAGACAUGAGCCACUGUGCCGGCCUGUUUUGCUUAAUAUUGAUUGCUUUUAGUUUCAGCUUUCAAUCACAAAAGACAAUCAUGCAGUAGAUAAUUAAGUGUAAUAUGGAUUACUUUGAAACUUAGCAAUGAGAGUCUUUUUUUUUCUUUUUAUACAAAAUUCCUCUAAAAUGGGAAUAUUUUUCACAUAAAAUAAAGGGAAACUUAGAAAAUGUGUCUAAGUAUAAUGGAAGCAUUCAAAUGUUUGUUUUAAGCUUUCUAAUACAUUUAUUUGUACAGAUCAAGACUUACUAAUAUGCUAAAAAGGAACAGUUAAAAUAAACUAUUGUACAUUCUUAAAA
ensembl:lncRNA CSTF3-DT CSTF3 divergent transcript